UACGGGGGGGGUAAGCGUUGUUCGGAAUUACUGGGCGUAAAGGGCUCGUAGGUGGCCAACUAAGUCAUACGUGAAAUCCCUCGGCUUAACCGGGGAACUGCAUCUGAUACUGGAUGGCUUGAGUUCGGGAGAGGGAUGCGGAAUUCCAGGUGUAGCGGUGAAAUGCGUAGAUAUCUGGAGGAACACCGGUGGCGAAGGCGGCAUCCUGGACCGACACUGACGCUGAGGAGCGAAGGCCAGGGGAGCAAACGGG
rnacentral:rRNA from 1 species